rnacentral:tRNA from 1 species
GCGCCAGUAGCUCAGUUGGUAGAGCAGAUGACUCUUAAUCAUCGGGCCCGGGGUUCGAGUCCCUGCUGGCGCA